rnacentral:rRNA from 1 species
AUCUAUGGCCAUGCCACCCUGAACAAGUCCAAUCCCAUUUGAUCUUGGAAGCUAAGCAGAGUUGGGCCUGGUUAGUACUUGGAUGGGAGAUCACUUAGGAAGAUCAGGUGCUGUAGGCG